rnacentral:tRNA from 1 species
AAGAAGGUGACAGACUGGUCAUGUGGCUGACUUGAAAUCAGCUUAAGGGGGUUCAAUUCCUUCCUUUCUCG